rnacentral:rRNA from 1 species
GACGAACGCUGGCGGCGUGCUUAACACAUGCAAGUCGAACGGAAAGGCCCUGCUUUUGUGGGGUGCUCGAGUGGCGAACGGGUGAGUAACACGUGAGUAACCUGCCCUUGACUUUGGGAUAACUUCAGUAAACUGGGGCUAAUACCGGAUAGGAGCUCCUGCUGCAUGGUGGGGGUUGGAAAGUUUCGGCGGUUGGGGAUGGACUCGCGGCUUAUCAGCUUGUUGGUGGGGUAGUGGCUUACCAAGGCUUUGACGGGUAGCCGGCCUGAGAGGGUGACCGGCCACAUUGGGACUGAGAUACGGCCCAGACUCCUACGGGAGGCAGCAGUGGGGAAUAUUGCACAAUGGGCGGAAGACUGAUGCAGCAACGACGCGUGCGGGAUGACGGACUUCGGGUUGUAAACCGCUUUCGCCUGUGACGAAGCGUGAGUGACGGUAAUGGGUAAAGAAGCACCGGCUAACUACGUG